GUUGGGUUCUAUCUGAGAAGGGAAAGGGAGUGGGAGGUGUGUUAGCAGGAACUCCUGCCUUGUUCAUAAUGUUAGUGUUGGUCUUCAACCCUCUGGGCCGGUGAACUCCCUUCAGCUGCGUGCCUAAGAGCCUCACCUGAGCCCUGUCUCAAUACGGCAUCUGGCCCCUCCGGGCUCUCUGUACCUGAAGAAGAGAUUAGAAUUGGAAAGGGGCCGUUGAAGCCUUUUUUUGUUGUUUUUGGCUAAUCACUGUUGAUGAAAGAAUAAUCUCUUAACACCAAGGAGCUGAAAUUCUUGGCUGGGUGCAGUGGCUCGCACCUGUAAUCCCAGCACUUUGGGAGGCCAAGGCAGGUGGAUCACCUGAGGCCAGGAGUUCAAGACUAGCCUGACCAACAUGGUGAAACCCCCUCUCUACUAAAAAUACAAAAGAAAAAAAAUUUUUGCAAAAUCAACAUGGAAUUUUUCUGAACUGUUUGUUUCAUAGUUAAUUGGAAAUAAAAGAUUAUUCAAAGUA
rnacentral:lncRNA from 10 species